rnacentral:rRNA from 1 species
UACGAAGGGGGCUAGCGUUGCUCGGAAUCACUGGGCGUAAAGCGCACGUAGGCGGACUCUUAAGUCGGUGGUGAAAUCCUGGAGCUCAACUCCAGAACUGCCUUCGAUACUGAGAGUCUUGAGUCCGGGAGAGGUGAGUGGAACUGCGAGUGUAGAGGUGAAAUUCGUAGAUAUUCGCAAGAACACCAGUGGCGAAGGCGGCUCACUGGCCCGGUACUGACGCUGAGGUGCGAAAGGCGUGGGGGAGCAAACAGG